UCACUGACCGUGAUAAUGUAGCGUAAUCAAUAGCCAAUUAAUUGUUGGCCGGUAUGAAUGGCGUCACGAAGGCCCCACUGUCUUAAGAGGACUCUCCAUGAAAUUGAAUUCGUAGUGAAGAUGCUACGUCCAUAUUGUAAGACGAAAAGACCCCAUUGAGCUUUACUAAAGACUUGCAUGGCUCAAAAUAAUUUAAUUUAAAUAAAGAGUUUAGAUAAUGUGGGAUCCGUUUCCGGCUAAUGAAACACCACUCUUUUAUUUUAAGAGAGCUAACAUCGCAGGGAUAAUGUAAGUUGGAUAGUUUGGUUGGGGCGACCACCUUUUAAAAGGUAACGAAGGUGAGCUUAAGGUCCGUAGUUAAUAGCCGGUGGCCUGACUGCAAGGGGGACGUCUCGAGCAGACACGUCCUCAGGGUCGACCCUUAGGGCCGUCCUUAGGGAUGUGGGCUAUAGUGACCCGUCAUCUUAGCGUGGAAUAGUUGACGAUCAACGAAUAAAAGCUACCAUGGGGA
rnacentral:rRNA from 1 species